GCUGAUCAGCUAGCUCGCACAUCUGGUUAAUUACCACGACAUACCUGAACCCGCAUAACAAACUACACCCCAUCAAACCAUUUUUCCACCUGAGUAAGGGAGACAGAAAAGGACCUUGAAGCAACAGAGAAAGUACCGUAAGGGAAAGUUGAAAGAGUGAUGAAAAAGUCCAUAUAAGCACAGUGUAGCAGAGCCUAGCUCUCGUACCUUUUGCAUCAUGAUUUAGCCAGUAUAGCUCAGGCGAAGUGAACUUUAGUCUUAGCCCCCGAAACUGGACGAGCUACUCCGAGGCAGCCUAUGGCAGGGCCAACCCGUCUCUGUGGCAAAAGAGUGGGAAGAACUCUGAGUAGAGGUGAUAAACCUACCGAGUCUAGUUAUAGCUGGUUGUCUAAGAAGCGAAUAGAAGUUCAGCCCUUCAAGUCACCCAUCCUCCCAAGUGAAACCUGCUUUGGUGCCGGAGAGUUGAAGGAGUAAGUCAAAAGAGGUACAGCUCUUUUGAUAGAGGACACAACCUUACCAGGUGGUUAAUGAUCAUAUAUACCAAGGGCCUGUGCUCCAGUGGGCCUAAAAGCAGCCACCUGCUCAGAAAGCGUUAAAGCUCAGACACCCCUCAGCCCCUUUUAUUUUGAUAAAUAGUCUUACCCCCUAAGUUUAAUAGACCGUCCCACAUUUAUGUGGAAGAGACCAUGCUAUAAUGAGUAACAAGGGGGUAAGACCCCCUCCCCGCACCCGUGUAAAUCGGACCGGACACCCCGCCGACUAUUAACGAACCCAAUUGAAGAGGGAAAAACGGACUAAGCUGACCACCGGAAGGUCCCGUUGUAAUGAAUCGUUGACCCCACACUGGAGUGCAUAAGGGAAAGGCCUAAAGGAGAAGAAGGAACUCGGCAAACGCAAGCCUCGCCUGUUUACCAAAAACAUCGCCUCUUGGUAUUAACCUAUAAGAGUCCUGCCUGCCCUGUGACUAUGAGUUUAACGGCCGCGGUAUUUUGACCGUGCAAAGGUAGCGCAAUCACUUGUCUUUUAAAUGAAGACCCGUAUGAAUGGCAAGACGAGGGCUAAGCUGUCUCCUUCUCCAAGUCAGUGAAAUUGAUCUCCCCGUGCAGAAGCGGGGAUUCCCUCAUAAGACGAGAAGACCCUAUGGAGCUUUAGACGCUAGGAAGACCAUGUUAAACAACCCCUUGUGCGGGAGAGAACUUAGUGGCACCUAUCUUGACUGUCUUCGGUUGGGGCGACCGCGGGGGAAAAGACAGCCCCCAUGUGGAACGGGAGGAAAUACUCCUAGAGCUAAGAGUUACCACUCUAAGCAACAGAAAUUCUGACCAGGAUGAUCCGGCAUAGCCGAUCAACGGACCCAGUUACCCUAGGGAUAACAGCGCAAUCCCCUCCCAGAGUCCCUAUCGACGAGGGGGUUUACGACCUCGAUGUUGGAUCAGGACAUCCUAAUGGUGCAGCCGCUAUUAAGGGUUCGUUUGUUCAACGAUUAAAGUCCUACGUGAUCUGAGUUCAGACCGGAGUAAUCCAGGUCAGUUUCUAUCUAUGACGUGACCUUUUCUAGUACGAAAGGACCGAAAAGGCAGGGCCAAUGCUCUCGGUAAGCCCGACCCCCAACUGAUGAAGGCAACUAAAUUAGACAAGGGGGCACACCCUUGCGACCCGAGAUAAUGGCGC
rnacentral:rRNA from 1 species